rnacentral:rRNA from 1 species
AUUGAACGCUGGCGGCAUGCCUUACACAUGCAAGUCGAACGGUAACAGGUCUUCGGAUGCUGACGAGUGUCGAACGGGUGAGUAAUACAUCGGAACGUGCCCGAUCGUGGGGGAUAACGAAGCGAAAGCUUUGCUAAUACCGCAUAAGAUCUACGGAUGAAAGCAGGGGACCGCAAGGCCUUGUGCGAACGGAGCGGCCGAUGGCAGAUUAGGUAGUUGGGGGGAUAAAAGCUUACCAAGCCGACGAUCUGUAGCUGGUCUGGGAGGACGACCAGCCACACGGGGACUGAGACACGGCCCAGACUCCUACGGGAGGCAGCAGUGGGGAAUUUUGGACAAUGGGCGAAAGCCUGAUCCAGCCAUGCCGCGUGCAGGAUGAAGGCCUUCGGGUUGUAAACUGCUUUUGUACGGAACGAAAAGACUCUUUCUAAUAAAGAGGGUCCAUGACGGUACCGUAAGAAUAAGCACCGGCUAACUACGUGCCAGCCGCCGCCGUAAGAC